UCUCAGUUCGGAUUGGAGUCUGCAACUCGACUCCAUGAAGCUGGAUUCGCUAGUAAUCGCGAAUCAGCAUGUCGCGGUGAAUACGUUCCCGGGCCUUGUACACACCGCCCGUCACACCAUGAGAGUUGGCAAUACCCAACGUACGUGAUCUAACCCGCAAGGGAGGAAGCGUCCUAAGGUAGGGUCAGCGAUUGGGGUGAAGUCGUAACAAGGUAGC
rnacentral:rRNA from 1 species